AGGUCAAAUGAUGGAGUGGGCUGGUAUAGUGGUAUGCUUCUGGAAGCAUAGUGCCCUCCGUGCUUCCAAGUUGUUUUCGAUGUAGGGACUUUUGAAUCGACGAUCGGCUCCGUUAGAGUUGAUCUAGAGUAUUUGAAGUACCUAAAAAAUAAAUUUUGUGAUUUUUCAAUAUCAUUUACCUAGUGAUCGAAGGGGCUCAAAAUUAAUAAUUUUAAUGGCCGUGGUGAGCCGCUUGCAAGUUUAAGGGUGUAGAAAUAUCCAAAUCACAUAAAAUUUUGAUAGAAAUUUUUUUAUACCAUAUAAAACAAGAUCAAUAACUUUGAUCUAAAAUUUUAAUGUCAUAUCAUCAUAUUUUGUAAGAUUUUUAUUUUCAGCCGUUGAUUUUGAGCCACUUCGAUCACUAGGCAAAUGAUAUCGAAAAAUCGCAAAAUUUAUUUUCUAGAUACUUCAAAUACUCUAGAUUAAAUCUAACGGAGCCGAUUAUCGAUUCGAAAGUCCGAACAUUGAAAACAAUUUGGAAGCAGGGAGCGCUCCGUGCUUCCAAAAGCAUACCAGACGCACUCGUCAAAUGAUAUGAUAGGUGUGGGAGCUAAUAAUUGUAAUUAUUUUUUUUUGGUGAAUUAUUUUAUAUUUU
rnacentral:lncRNA from 1 species